rnacentral:rRNA from 1 species
AUGGCAGAAUCGUUGCUUCUUCCUCUAGUGCGUGGCGUGGCCAGCAAGGCUGCAGACGCACUCGUGGGGACGGUGACCCGCAUGUGUGGCCUCGGUGAUGAUCGCCGAACAUUGGAGCGCCAGCUGCUAGCUGUCGAGUGCAAGCUGGCCAACGCCGAGGAGAGGAGCAUGACAAAUGGCUAUGUCAAGAGCUGGAUGAAGGAGCUCAAGUCUGUCGCCUACAAGGCUGACGACGUGCUUGACGACUUCCAGUACGAGGCACUACGCCGCCAGUCUAAAAUCGGCAGGUCCACUUCCCACAAGGUACUUGGCUACAUCACGCGGCACAGCCCGCUGCUCUUCCGUUUUGAAAUGAGCAGGAAACUCAAGAACGUCCUCGAGAAGAUCAGCGCGCAAGUUGGUUGA